rnacentral:rRNA from 1 species
GACGUAGGGGGCAAACGUUAUCCGGAAUUAUUGGGCGUAAAGGGCGCGUAGAUGGCCUGAUAAGUUAGCAGUGGGAAAUCGAGGCUCAACCUCGUGGAAGCUGGUAAUACUGUCAGGCUCGAGUGCAGGAGAGGUUAACGGAACUCCAUGUGGAGCGGUAAAAUGUGUAGAUAUAUGGAAGAACACCAAUAACGGCGAAGGCAGUUAACUAUUCUGUUACUGACAUUGAGGCACGAAAGCGUGGGGAGCAAAACGG